rnacentral:rRNA from 1 species
UGGGGAAUUUUGGACAAUGGGGGAAACCCUGAUCCAGCCAUCCCGCGUGUGCGAUGAAGGCCUUCGGGUUGUAAAGCACUUUUGGCAGGAAAGAAACGUCGCGGGUUAAUACCCCGCGAAACUGACGGUACCUGCAGAAUAAGCACCGGCUAACUACGUGCCAGCAGCCGCGGUAAUACGUAGGGUGCAAGCGUUAAUCGGAAUUACUGGGCGUAAAGCGUGCGCAGGCGGUUCGGAAAGAAAGAUGUGAAAUCCCAGAGCUUAACUUUGGAACUGCAUUUUUAACUACCGGGCUAGAGUGUGUCAGAGGGAGGUGGAAUUCCGCGUGUAGCAGUGAAAUGCGUAGAUAUGCGGAGGAACACCGAUGGCGAAGGCAGCCUCCUGGGAUAACACUGACGCUCAUGCACGAAAGCGUGGGGAGCAAACAGGAUUAGAUACCCUGGUAGUCCACGCCCUAAACGAUGUCAACUAGCUGUUGGGGCCUUCGGGCCUUGGUAGCGCAGCUAACGCGUGAAGUUGACCGCCUGGGGAGUACGGUCGCAAGAUUAAAAACUUAAAGGAAUUGACGGGGGUGCAUAGCUNUUUCCCU